UGUGAUGGUUCUUAGUCAUUCUUUUCCAUUACUAGAAUGAUGUGUGAGUUACAAAAAGAGAUCAAGCAAACCUUACUGUGAGUGACACCAAGCCUUCCUGAGGAGCCACUCAAUCAGUCAGUUGAGAAACGUGUAGGCUGAGGAGUAGAAGAUUUAAUGUACGUGAAAGAAGAGGACAUCUUAAGAGUUCAUACAAUCUGUCUAGUGCCAAACUGCUCAGCGCCUGGAAAGAUCCUGAACAAAGAAGCAGCAUUUUGGUUCAGUAAUUAGUUUGAUCUAGGUCUCCUCAAAAUUCACCGCAAAUGAGCUCCUCAGGCUCCUCAGUAAGAAAAUGGAUGGACUCACGCUUCAAGCAGAUGCAUUUGCCACUUCAGCAGAUGUCCAAGGAACACUCACCUUGCCUGACAGUCCUUGAAUUUUAAUUCUUGGUCAAACUCUAAGCAACCAGCAGUGGAUGGUGAGCAUUGAAGGUCACGUUGUAUGUGAGGGAACACAACUCAGCUUUGUCUGUGGCCAUGCUGCUGUGUUUGCUUCAUGUUAGAAUUUCAACUUCCAAUAUAGGAAGAGACUGCAAGCACCCUUGAUUUUGUUCAAAGAUGAUUUAUUGACAUCAACCCUGAACAAAUGUCCAAGGUCAAUCAAGGAAAAGCAACAUCCAAGAAGACUAGCCAGGUAGUCCAUAACAAGAAGAACUCAGUAAACCCUCAUUUUUCUUAUCCACUUUGUAAGAUAAUGGACUUUGAACGGAAUUUGGUCCGAGUUCAUCCAAGACCACUUUGUUCACUUUUAAUUUUGACAGUUUAGGCAAUUUUUGUCUAACAUGGUGUUCAUAUUCUAUUUUAAUGUGAAAGUCAACAUUGGUGCUACUUUUAAAUUUAGUACUGAAUGCUGCACUGUGUUUAUUGCCAGUGUUUCCCACCUCUGUUGCAACCAUUUGUGUUUAUCUGAAAUAAUGAAAGACUGCUAACAAUUGAAAAACUUGUAAUGUAAAAAGCUAAUCAAGAUCUUAAAAAUAAAUGUUUAUUGGAAUGUUUCAAAUGAAAGAAGCAUUAUUUGUUUAAAUUAAUCUGUUAGUAAAUAUUGCAAUAUAAUGUCCUUAUCAAUGCUGUGCUGACACUAUAAAAUGGUAUUCACAGCAUAAGCAAUGUAAAAAUACAAUACAUAACUGUAGAAAAUACAG